rnacentral:tRNA from 1 species
CAUUUUCUACUUCUCAGUGUAAGUGAGAUACUUAAAGCUUUUCUUUUCCCUUAGUUUACU